GACGAACGCUGGCGGCGUGCCUAAUGCAUGCAAGUAGAACGCUGAAGCUUGGUGCUUGCACCGAGCGGAUGAGUUGCGAACGGGUGAGUAACGCGUAGGUAACCUGCCUGGUAGCGGGGGAUAACUAUUGGAAACGAUAGCUAAUACCGCAUAAAAUUGGUUAUCGCAUGACAAUCAAUUGAAAGGUGCAAAUGCAUCACUACCAGAUGGACCUGCGUUGUAUUAGCUAGUUGGUGGGGUAACGGCUCACCAAGGCGACGAUACAUAGCCGACCUGAGAGGGUGAUCGGCCACACUGGGACUGAGACACGGCCCAGACUCCUACGGGAGGCAGCAGUAGGGAAUCUUCGGCAAUGGACGGAAGUCUGACCGAGCAACGCCGCGUGAGUGAAGAAGGUUUUCGGAUCGUAAAGCUCUGUUGUAAGAGAAGAACGAGUGUGAGAGUGGAAAGUUCACACUGUGA
rnacentral:rRNA from 1 species